rnacentral:lncRNA from 1 species
UAAAGACUGGGUUAAAAAAUUUAUCACACACGGCCUAAACAGGAACCAUACAGGCGUGUGACACGGCCGUGUGGCCCAACACGGGCCUCAUACGACCGCGUCACCCUUUUAAAAAACCCUAAUCCCUUUUAUUUUUGUUUUGACUUAUUCUUCAUCUUCCUUUUCAACCCUUGCCCUCGAUCCCCAAACAACAAAACCUUAGUCGCCGCUCACCAUUCCAGCCAUCGUCGCCGUUUGCUUCAGUCUCUCCCUCGACCUUCUCCUUCCCUCACCUCUCCCUCACCCAAACAACCCCUUCACCUAAAACCUGACCCAUCUUCCCUUUUCUUCCUUCCCUUGUCGACACUCCCAUCCUACAACCCUUUCCCUUUUACUUCUUCCUUCCCCAACCGUCGCCCCACUCUUCCCCUCACCCCGUCACACAACAGCCCUAACCGAACCCCCUCACCCUUCUCUAUUCUCGAUCUCACACAGACCUCCAUUCUCUCGCACCGACCAAACCACUCCCCCAUAACCGCCUCAUUCGCGUGCUACCGGCCUCACUCCCUCGUUCUUCGUCGCACCCUUCCCCUCAUCCGAACUACCACCACAGCGAUGUCCCCCUCCGAGCUCUGGCCAACCACCGUCGGUUCCCCCUUUUGCCCUUUCCUUUCCUUUAUUUUAUUUUAUUUCUUUAUUUCUUUAUCUUUUAUUAUUUUGUUUAUUUUUUUAUUUUUAGUUUCUUUUGGUAGUUUUCAUUUAUUAUUAUUAUUAUUAUUUUCUCUUUUUUAGCAUUACACAGUAUUGUGAAUUCAUUUUUUCUAGUUGAUUUGAAUUUUUUGUUUUACCAUUGUUUUAGUGUUAUGUUUUUCCUUUUCUCUUAUGACAUUAUUCUUUUGCGUUCCCCUAUUCAUGCUAUUCUUGAUUAUUCAUU